rnacentral:lncRNA from 10 species
GGGGCGGCGCAGCCCCGCGCGGUUGUGGGAUCGCUCCCGGGGGCCGCUCCUCUCUCGGGCACUGGGGUCGCGGGAGACGUCGUCGGGAGCUCGGUUUCUGGAGGCCCUUCCCCACCCGGCCUCUGCCUCCUCCACUCCCCCGGGCUGGACGGAACGGGGCCCAGCGCGGGAUGCGAGGUGCGUCCCCGGGGCCCGCAGCGGGCGGGAGCGCAGCCAGGGCCCGGUCGGGGACGCAGGCCCAGGGCGCUGAGGCUGCACCUGCCUCUCCGAAACCGGGCUGGCUCUUUUUGUCUUUUUAUUUUUCUAAUUUAUUUUUUUAGAGGUAUGAUUUCGCUCUGUCGCCCAGGCUGGAGGGCAGUGGCGCAAUCUCGGCUCACUGCAGCCUCGAACUCCUAGGCUGAAGCGAUUCUCCCGCCUCAGCCUCCAAAGUAGCCGGUACUACAGGCGCGCGCCACCACGCCUGGCUAAGAAAUAACCAUGGAUAUGGGUAGAGACAGAGCCAUAUGGAAUGCACACUGCAGUGGUGAACACAUGGCCCAGCUCUGCCAUCAAGGAGAAGGAACAUGAAUGGAGCUGGAGGCCAUCAUCCUUAGUGAACUAACACAGGAGCAGAAAACCAAAUACCACAUGUUC